CAGCAGCCGCGGGAAUACGGAGGGUGCGAGCGUUAAUCGGAAUAACUGGACGUAAAGGGCACGCAGGCGGUGACUUAAGUGAGGUGUGAAAGCCCCGGGCUUAACCAGGGAAUUGCAUUUCAUACUGGGUCGCUAGAGUACUUUAGGGAGGGGUAGAAUUCCACGUGUAGCGGUGAAAUGCGUAGAGAUGUGGAGGAAUACCGAAGGCGAAGGCAGCCCCUUGGGAAUGUACUGACGCUCAUGUGCGAAAGCGUGGGGAGCAAACAGGAUUAGAUACCCCCGUAGUCCCUGUCUCUUAUAC
rnacentral:rRNA from 1 species